CCUACGGGUGGCAGCAGUGAGGAAUAUUGGUCAAUGGACGAGAGUCUGAACCAGCCAAGUAGCGUGAAGGAUGACUGCCCUAUGGGUUGUAAACUUCUUUUAUAUGGGAAUAAAACGUUCCACGUGUGGGAUUUUGUAUGUACCAUAUGAAUAAGGAUCGGCUAACUCCGUGCCAGCAGCCGCGGUAAUACGGAGGAUCCGAGCGUUAUCCGGAUUUAUUGGGUUUAAAGGGAGCGUAGGUGGAUUGUUAAGUCAGUUGUGAAAGUUUGCGGCUCAACCGUAAAAUUGCAGUUGAAUCUGGCAGUCUUGAGUACAGUAGAGGUGGGCGGAAUUCGUGGUGUAGCGGUGAAAUGCUUAGAUAUCACGAAGAACUCCGAUUGCGAAGGCAGUUCACUGGACUGCAACUGACACUGAGGCUCGAAAGUGUGGGUAUCAAACAGGAUUAGAUACCCCAGUAGUC
rnacentral:rRNA from 1 species